AUUGAACGCUGGCGGCAUGCCUUACACAUGCAAGUCGAACGGUAACAGGUCUUCGGAUGCUGACGAGUGGCGAACGGGUGAGUAAUACAUCGGAACGUGCCCGAGAGUGGGGGAUAACGAAGCGAAAGCUUUGCUAAUACCGCAUACGAUCUCAGGAUGAAAGCAGGGGACCGCAAGGCCUUGCGCUCACGGAGCGGCCGAUGGCAGAUUAGGUAGUUGGUGGGAUAAAAGCUUACCAAGCCGACGAUCUGUAGCUGGUCUGAGAGGACGACCAGCCACACUGGGACUGAGACACGGCCCAGACUCCUACGGGAGGCAGCAGUGGGGAAUUUUGGACAAUGGGCGAAAGCCUGAUCCAGCCAUGCCGCGUGCAGGAUGAAGGCCUUCGGGUUGUAAACUGCUUUUGUACGGAACGAAAAGACUCUGGUUAAUACCUGGAGUCCAUGACGGUACCGUAAGAAUAAGCACCGGCUAACUACGUGCCAGCCGCCGCCGUAA
rnacentral:rRNA from 1 species